GGCUUGAUCUCUGGCUUCCGGACGCGACGCGGCUCUCCUGCGCUCCAUCUCCAGCGCCAGGAGCACCGGAGCGGCGGAGCGGCAGCAGCCAGAUGGAGGGGAGGACGCAGCACGUAAACGGACCUGCUUCAUAUCAACAGGUCGGCGCACGGCUCCUCGUCCACCUGCACGCUCGCCCGCUCCGGCACAUCUGUGUGCGUCUGAAUCCUCCGUCCUCGCUGCACCUCAGACUGGACCGGUGUUGAUUCGUGGGAUUGCACGUGCGCCGCAGUAAUCGGUGCAUUAUUAUUAUCCAAGCAGCUCGCAGGCAGCGGGGACGCUCUCCCAAAUUAAUUCAUCUCUGCCACAGUACAGUAUGUCGGUGUUUGCAUCAACAAAUGCAAAUCCCGAGUGCCUUAAUGUCCCUGGAUGUUUACACCAUGUGUGAUGACUGAAUAAAGAAACUGUGAUUCAUGUAAUGAAUGCGAUGAAAUAAAGUGCAAACACAUUUAGUCAUCAUACGAUGCCGAGAGCGCUUGUUUAUGUCGUUGUGUUUAUGUGAUUAGAAGCACUAAUAGCUUCCACUCUCCUUCAUGUUUGCUCUUAUUAUUUCUUGUGUGUUUAAUUUUCAGAAUAAUCCAUCUUUUCCACAGGUGAAAACUGACUAGUGUGACACGUUGUGGAAGACUAGUGAUUUUGUUGUUGUAAGUUGACAUUUUUGACAACAAGUCACAGUCUACCCCAGUGUUUCCCACCCAAACGUCUCCUUUAUUUCUCCCAGUUUCCACUUGGCACAUGUCUCUCUUUUCCUCCUAACAGCAUCUAUACAAUUAUAAUCAGCCCCCUGCAUUUGUUACGUCUGCCCUGACUCCCUCUGUUUUUAUAAGGAACGUGUGUUUACUGGUGGCAACGCUGAGAACAUCUUAAUAAUGCCUUCUUCGAUCAGUAGGGGUCUGAAAACAAGCGUUUCUCCUCCCACUCUGCCACAAAUACAAAGAAGAUGAGCGCUUCAGAAACUGAAGGAAUAAAGCGCCACGGGUUCAAACUGCUCCGUGAAACGAUAAACACAGAACAGGCGAAGGAAGAGUCAUCUGAACCUUUUCCUCUUAAGACCAAACACCGUCGGUGAGUGGAUUACAACAACUGGGAUUACCUGGACGUGGUCAGGGGGGUCUUUAAUAAUGGUGGCAUGGCUCUUCACCCUGGGGGCCACUGCGUCAGGGGACAGCACGAGUAGGUGGUGAGGGUAUUAUUUAAUCAAUAUACUUCUGCAUGCUCAUGCCUCUGGUGACGUCACAUAAGACAAAAAAAAAAAACAAGCAAUCAUCGUCAAAAACGCUCAAAAAUGCUUCUGAUCAUAAUCAAAAGCACUGUUGAGCGUUUUCUUUUAAUCAUAGUUUUGAUUUUUUUCUCUUUUCUUAAUUAGAAUUGGAAACUCUCCUCCCAGGUUUAUGCCAUCAGAUUCAUUCUUGUGCCUCUUGUGAUGUCAUCACUCCAAAUAAACGCAAAGCAAUUUUUUUUUCCUGUGCUUUUUAUAAAAACUUUAAACUGUGAAAUAUUACUGUGGAAAUACAUUCUGCAAUAUCCAGCUGUGUUCCAUUAUGAGCAUACUUUUUUUUUUAGUGGAUCACACCCCCCACCUUCACACCACCUGAGCAUCUAUAAAAUGAAUUAUUGCACUGAGCAGACAUUUAAAAAUAACAUUAAGCUUCAUGAAAUCUUUGUUCUGCUAAUAAAAAGACAAAAAGAGCAUUGUUUUGUGGUUUUUAUACCGGUUACAGUUGAUUUAAAACUCUGCUUGGGUUGGUGAACCCCGUGGAUAAAUGUUUGAAAUAAAGAAAUUGUUUAAAAUAAAAAGUGAAAUCUCUUGUCUCAUUCUUGGGGGGCAGAAGGGAGGGCUCAACCAGGGGGUCGUCCAUGCAAGAACAGCCACUAUUCUGUGCUCUGCUCCAAAAUAUAUUAAUAACCUGUGAUCAAAUUGACAACACAGGAAUUUGGUCUGGUUACAUGGGAUUAUUCUUCACUCUUAUGGAUAUUUGAGGGGCGUAAUAUGUAAAGAUGCUGUUACUUUAUGGCAUUUCUUUUUUAACUUCGUGUAAUAUUUAUACACAGAGUUCAUGUGACAGAAGUGAAAAUGAUUACCUCAAAGUCACUGAUUUUUUUUUUAAUAAUCUGCAUCUUCUCCCUUAAAGUAGCCAGAUUUAAUGGCCUAAAUUAAGAGGUGUUUAAUGUUAUUGAAUCUUUGCUUCAGACUGUGGUCAGCUAUACAGUUGGUGAAGUGGAUGGAAAACAUACAUGGUUCUUAAAGACUUUACAUAAAACAGAUUAACAGUUUUACCAAAACAGAUCCUGAUCCCAGUUUAUAAAGGCAAGAGGAAUUGUCCAGGGUCCUGAAAAUGUUCCUGUGAGUGAAACGCACGUAGAAUGGAGCAAAGGGGGCUGAGGUUCACCUUCUAGCAGGGAAACAAGUCUGAACAUAAAGCUAUCAGCGGGAUGGGUUAGAUCCAAACCUACAGACAUGUUACAAUGGCCUAGUCAAAGUUCAGAUCUAGGUCCAACUGAAAACCAGUACCAAGACUGAAACAUCUGCGUCUGCAAAAAGAGAGAUGGCUUGAACAAAGUAUCGGCUCUGAGGGGAUGAAUCCACAGAGGUUCAGGAUUUACUUCUUUUGAAUACAUGAACCAGUUAUCCGGUGAUUUCUGGUGGCUACAAACUAGAACCAUGUUAAACAUGCUAUCGGGAUUACAUUUAAUCAGUAUAAUCUGUGUUACAGCCUUAGAUGAACUUCAGAUGUUUUAUUCAGAAACACAAAAAGUUUAAAAAUUAAAUUAUGAAAUUGAUAUCUACAUUAAAAAAAAAACAUUUGAAUUUGUUACUUGGUUGGAUUCACGUCUGUUUGAACACAUUUCUGCAGCUCCAGUUUAGCCCCUAAAUGCUUCUGGUUCAGUUAGUUUUGUUCGGGUUUGUGUUGGAGGUCCACCUUUAAUCUGAGGAAAUCAAACAUCUUUUCACAUUUCUUCUCGAGUUCUGAGUCAUCAUGAGUGUUAAAUCUGAGCAAGUCUGUGAAUUAAUUUGAAAAUGAGAACAGAAA